CCUAGGGAUUUCCUCUCAAACUUCUCCCAUCCAUCUAGCCAAGCAUAACAACAAUUUAGUCAUCCUCAAGAUGGAGAACACCAUGGUAGCUUCGGAAUCGUGAAUUCUUCGGUGUUUCACUUUUCAUAGCAAGACUCCGUCUUGUAAUUUCGAAUUUUGAGUAAUUCUGGUCACAUAAGGAAAUCAUUCCUAAGGCUUUUGAGGUCUUGGAAACAGUAUAUAACUCCAUCGACAAGGUUCGAAUAGACAGAGUGGCGUGCCUCCUUAGUAGGACCCCCAGGAUCAGUGUUGGGUUUCGCACUCCACUUCUUCGGAGUUGCUGACUUUGAGUCCAUAGGUACUAUUACAGAUGUAUAUGUGUGGUUUUGGG